rnacentral:rRNA from 1 species
CCUGACAUACUAAGAACUUCCAGAGAUGGAUUGGUGCCUUCGGGAACUUAGAUACAGGUGCUGCAUGGCUGUCGUCAGCUCGUGUCGUGAGAUGUUGGGUUAAGUCCGCAACGAGCGCAACCCUUUCCUAUUUGCCAGCGGGUAAUGCCGGGAACUUUAAGGAUACUGCCAGUGACAAACUGGAGGAAGGCGGGGACGACGUCAAGUCAUCAUGGCCCUUACGGCCAGGGCUACACACGUGCUACAAUGGUCGGUACAAAGGGUUGCUACCUCGCGAGAGGAUGCUAAUCUCAAAAAGCCGAUCGUAGUCCGGAUCGCAGUCUGCAACUCGACUGCGUGAAGUCGGAAUCGCUAGUAAUCGCGGAUCAGAAUGCCGCGGUGAAUACGUUCCCGGGCCUUGUACACACCGCCCGUCACACCAUGGGAGUUUGUUGCACCAGAAGUAGGUAGUCUAACCGCAAGGAGGACGCUUACCACGGUGUGGCCGAUGACUGGGGUGAAGUCGUAACAAGGUAAGCGUAGAUGA